CAAGGACCCGGAAGUGACCUCAGGCCCCGCUCUUUCCUCUGCCACCCCCGCCACAGAAUGCUCCCUCUGCACACCUUCCCAUGUUCCUUCCCUCAAAAUUUUGGAGCUGGGCAGGGAUGGACUUGGGUCAGGGGACUUGGGAAAGGCUCAGUCCUAAUGAGCUGGACUUCAGAUUGACUCUGCAUCUAUCCAAGAGGAUCCAAUUGACCAAGAAAAUACAUGUCCCCCUGCCCUUGGUCAUGAGCAGCCUUAAUAUUCAGAGAUUUCACCUUGACUCAGGGCUUCCACAAAGUAGGAUUUUAACACAUAUAGAAUUUGAAGUUACUGUCUGUUGAGUAAGCAUUUAUCUGUUCUCAAGUGUAUAAAAAUGAAAUAUAAAAUAUCCCUGGACCUACCAUAUUAUCUUCACAAAAUAUUAACAUUUUGCCAUUAUGUUGUUUAGUUUCUUUUUUUUUAAAAAAAAACUUUGUCCUAAAUUUUAUGUUCAUUCUCUGAUUUUAUGAUUUUUACAACAGACAUAUAAAUCCUUAAGCCAUGUAGGUUAUUUUGCAUGUUUUAAGUUUUACCUAGAUGCUAGUCUAUCACACACAGCAUUUUUAUUCUUAACCCAGUUUGUGGAUUCAUUGUGUGGAUUUAUGUAACUCUGUUAUUAAUGUCCACUGAUCUGUGGUUUUCUGUUGCCAGAACAGGCACAAUUCAUUGAUUAUUCUUCUGAAAUGGAUAUUGAAGCUAUCGUCAAUGUUUUUACUGGUAUAACCUUGUCUGUACAGACAUUCUUAGGUUUGUUUCCUUGGGUACAUGUAAGAGUCCCUUUCGUUCCUCUAGUGUAGCGCACAAAGUCACAGUGUUGG
rnacentral:lncRNA from 1 species